rnacentral:lncRNA from 1 species
GUUGUGGAGCUCACCAUGUUAUGAUUGCCAUAGUCACAAUCUUGUGCUCCUGUUUCAGCCUCAGUGACUCCUGUGACAUCCGACAGACUCUGAGCAGCCAAAGCAGCCUGUGAGCACAGUGGCUGUAUUAAAAAAGCUCCACUGUCUGAUACUGUUUGUCACAUGAUAGAAAACUGUAGAGAAGCAAACUUUUCAACAUGAGUCAGUGACUUUAAAGCCACAACAUGAAACUCAAAAUUGAGUCCAACACCAGACUCCUUUUAAACAAAGGCACAACGUCAUUGUGUGAGAUCCUAGACUAAGUUUCACUUUAAUACAAGUGACAGCAGGUGUUUAGCUCUGAAUCUGUGGCUUUUUCAGAAGAUGAGUCUUAUUGUGGAGGAGAAGGAUGAAGCAGAUUCUCCAGGAUCAAGAUGUGCAUCUAUGAAGAACGACUGGUCCAGAUUUGAGCCUCUGUCAUUCAGUUCUGAACCUGGAGCCUCAAAUACAAAAGGUCAGAACCACAAACAAAGAGCAGAACCUCCAGGACCCAGCUGUCUGUCUAUGAAGAGUGACUGGUCCAAAGAAGAGCCUUGGGAGUUCAAUAAUGGACCUGGAGCCUCAGACUUAAAGUAAGAGCUAGGUUUUACUAGCUCUUACUUUGGGAGGGGGGGGGUCCUUUGUUGCAGUCGAAGGAAGGGCAGAGUGGACUGCGUGGUGCUGAGGUGUAAACAGCUGCUACUGGGAGU